AGUGGCGGCGGGCCCGCGCGGUGCCGGCGACUAGCAGCGAGAUGUCCUGGCCCCUUCCAGGUUUGGCUUAGACUCAGGGCUGAUCAGGGUAAGAAGGCGACCUUCCCACCUAAAGGGCAGGUUUGGACUGAGCGCCGGCGAUUUUCCUGCGAGCCCAACACUUCCUAGAACAAGUCGAUUAAUACCCAGAAUUCAGACACCCCAGGAAGAGCCAAGUGAGGAGCGCGAGAUCCUGUUAUCCCGAAGACACCCAAGCGGCUGCCAAAAAGAAGGGGCCGUUGGUCCCUUUGCUCUCCAUUUCCAGCUGUUCCAGAACUAGCUGCUAUCUCUCUGGACUCACCAGCCCCUCUAGGAAAUCUGAGAUGGCCUUGGGAGAGCAACCUCCGGACCUCAGCAGUGUGAGGAUGACAACAGUACCCUGUGGUGCUGUCCCCACUCAGGUUGGCUGCCAUCCCUGCUGAUGGAGAGAGGCUGAAGUCUGUCUGAGAAGAUAGUGCAGGCAGCUACUUAGCUGGUACUAAUUGUAUUUGCAGAGUAGGGGGUUUCUCUCUGUAGCCCCGACUGUCCUGGAACUCACUCUGCAGACCAGGCUGUCCUCAAGCUCAGAGAUCUACCUGCCUCUGCCUCUGAAGUACUGGGAUUAAAGAUGCAGAGGCCUCCCAGAGAAGUGUGAAGGAAUGGGCCUUAACCAGGGUUGAAGAAAGAAAGUGAAGAAGGGGAGAGCCCAAGGAAAGGUGGGGACAGUUGGAACUUUUGUUUACACUGGUCUACUACUCAUGUAUCGUAUGCUAUAAUCUCCAAAUUCCACAUUUAUUGUAGCUGUCUGCAGUGUGUAUGCCCCGGCCGCAUGCUGCUUGGCUAAAAAAGUGUUAAAUAAAACUGUAAGAAACGCUA
rnacentral:lncRNA from 1 species